UGGGGAAUCUUGCACAAUGGGGGCAACCCUGAUGCAGCGACGCCGCGUGAGCGAUGAAGCCCUUCGGGGCGUAAAGCUCUUUCGACCGGAACGAUAAUGACGGUACCGGGAGAAGAAGCUGCGGCUAACUACGUGCCAGCAGCCGCGGUAAUACGUAGGCAGCAAGCGUUGUUCGGAGUUACUGGGCGUAAAGAGUGCGUAGGCGGUUUUCUAAGUUCGGUGUGAAAUCUCCCGGCUUAACUGGGAGGGUGCGCCGAAGACUGGGAAGCUGGAGUGUGGGAAAGGCAGGCGGAAUUCCUGGUGUCGCGGUGAAAUGCGUAGAUAUCAGGAGGAAGACCGGCGGUGUAGACGGCUUGCUAGACCAUAACUGACGCUGAGGCACGAAAGCGUGGGUAGCAAACA
rnacentral:rRNA from 1 species